rnacentral:rRNA from 1 species
CCUACGGGGGGCAGCAGUCGAGAAUCUUCCACAAUGGACGAAAGUCUGAUGGAGCGACGCCGCGUGAUUGAUGAAGUGGUUCGCCACGUAAAGAUCUUUUAUGAGGGAAGAAGUAUAUUGACGGUACCUCAUGAAUAAGGGGCUCCUAACUCUGUGCCAGCAGGAGCGGUAAUACAGAGGCCCCGAGCGUUAUCCGGAAUUAUUGGGCGUAAAGGGUGUGUAGGUGGCGUUGUUAGUCGUAUGUGAAAGCCCGGGGCUUAACCUCGGAAACGCGU